rnacentral:rRNA from 1 species
AGUGACAAGAAAUAACAAUACAGGACCUUUUGGUUUUGUAAUUGGAAUGAGUUAAGUAUAAACCCCUUUACAAGUAUCAAUUGGAGGGCAAGUCUGGUGCCAGCAGCCGCGGUAAUUCAAGCUCCAAUAGCGUAUAUUAAAGUUGUUGCAGUUAAGAAGCUCGUAGUUGGAUUUCUGUUAAUGAUUUAUAUAAAAUAUUUUGAUGAAUAUUUAUAUAAUAUCAACAUAAUUCAUAUUACUAUAUAUUUUAGUAUAUGAAAUUUUACUUUGAGAAAAUUAGAGUGCUUAAAGCAGG